rnacentral:lncRNA from 1 species
AAUCAGGUAUCAGUGAUCAUUUGUAGGAACCUCCAUCCUCAGCUUGAGCACAUAAAAGAACUUUUUUAAGUGGUCUUGGAGUUGUCCUGCUAAACGAUGUCAACUACACGCAUAGGACAUGACUUAAUCAAAAAUGCUUCAGCUAAACUAAGCUUCAGCUGGACUUUUAAUGCCACCUGCUAUUUACUUCACUGUAAGAAAUAAGAAGCUAGCAGAAAAUCAUAUGUUCCUGCAUCUUUAAACUCCACAAGUUUUUACAAAAUCCUUAAACCAUCUUAUAAUACUUGGAAAACCAGCAGCAACUAAUGCUACCUUAUAUGUGCAAUUUUUUAUAACAUAACAUGUGGGAGAAUGACUUAAAUAUUGCUGUGUCAGAUAUUCCUUCCAAAAUUAAGCAUAAGCCACUGCACAACAAUUAUUA